rnacentral:rRNA from 1 species
GAGUUUGAUCCUGGCUCAGAACGAACGCUGGCGGCAGGCUUAACACAUGCAAGUCGAGCGCCCCGCAGGGGGAGCGGCAGACGGGUGAGUAACGCGUGGGAACGUACCUUUUGCUACGGAAUAGCUCUGGGAAACUGGAAUUAAUACCGUAUGUGCCCUUCGGGGGAAAGAUUUAUCGGCAAAAGAUCGGCCCGCGUUGGAUUAGCUAGUUGGUGGGGUAAAGGCCUACCAAGGCGACGAUCCAUAGCUGGUCUGAGAGGAUGAUCAGCCACAUUGGGACUGAGACACGGCCCAAACUCCUACGGGAGGCAGCAGUGGGGAAUAUUGGACAAUGGGCGCAAGCCUGAUCCAGCCAUGCCGCGUGAGUGAUGAAGGUCUUAGGAUUGUAAAGCUCUUUCAACGGUGAAGAUAAUGACGGUAACCGUAGAAGAAGCCCCGGCUAACUUCGUGCCAGCAGCCGCGGUAAUACGAAGGGGGCUAGCGUUGUUCGGAAUUACUGGGCGUAAAGCGCGCGUAGGCGGGUAUUUAAGUCAGGGGUGAAAUCCCAGAGCUCAACUCUGGAACUGCCUUUGAUACUGGGUACCUAGAGUCCGGAAGAGGUGAGUGGAAUUGCGAGUGCUAAACAUUCCGCCUGGGGAGUACGGUCGCAAGAUUAAAACUCAAAUGAAUUUGACGGGGGCAAGGGCGAAUUUCCAGCACACUGGCGGCCCGUUACUAGUGGAUCCGAGCUCGGUACCAGGCUUGGCGUAAUCAUGGUCAUAGCUUGUUUUCCUG